ensembl:lncRNA
CCAUCCUCAACCCUUGGGAACACACCUAGGAUGCUUUUGAACUUUUCCACAGUUCACCCACACUCUCGCUGUGGAAUCACUAAUGACCCAGUCACCACCCUACUGGAGCCAGCCUCAGGAGGCUAUACUGUUCUAAUAGUUACUCAGCAGAGGCAGCGAUGAGAGGGGAGACCUCGGCUCAUCCAGCUUUAGAGCCUGACCAGGAGGAGUCGAACAUUAACUCAGCUCUUCCAGGGCACCCUGCAGACUCGGCUGUUGGCAACAACGAGGGAUGACGUGAACGCCAAACUGGAGUCCAUCACAGGUCAACUGCAGCUCCUUGUCUCAGAGCGGGAGGGAUUUGAAGCACAAAGGGAGGAACUUGUCGUUUGGUUGGCUGAUAUGGAUGUCCGCCUGAGUGAGGUUGACCAGCUGACAGGAAACACCAGUGAAAAACUGAAACAACUGCAGUGGUGGGCUUGUUUUGAUAUGACAUAUAUUUGAUAUGAUACAUACGUCAGAGACAUGGUCCUAAACUGGACUAACAAAGGACCAUGAGUACAGCAUGAAAUGUACAUUACAUAGUGUAAGGCUGAAGUUCAUUGAUCAUUUUAAUCAUAAACUUGUUGUUGAAAUGUUUUUACUGAACAUGCAAACAUCUGCUGAUGAAAUUGUGUUGAUUUAUUGGUCUGUUAUGAAGCUAUUGCUAUUUCUAUUGUGUUUUAUCACUUUCUGAUGUUU